GUUUUGUUUAAGAUAGGAGUGCUCUUCUCCAGUGUUCAUUACAAGGAUUCUCAAUAACAAGUCAAACUUCAACUUUUCCAAAUAAGACCUUUGAGUGAGUUUUACAAGGAGAGAUAAAACCAGAGCUGAAGUUUCUCUUCACUUUCCUUGGAGGGGAAAAAGUCAUUCAUCAAUUGUUAAACAAUUUCAUGUCUCAGUCCUCUCCAAAAAUGGUUAGGAGUCUUACCAAUGGCAGAGGCUGCAAGACACUUGAUGACAACUACAGGUGGAUCACAACCUGGAUAAAAAGGAGCUGAAGCAUAUUCCGCAAAGCUAAGACAAAUGAUAGCAAACGAACUGGGUUUUAUGACCAGUAAACUUGUCCAGGAAAACAAAUAUGCUGGAAUUGGACCAAAAGCCUCCAUAAGGAAUUUGGAAACUAGAAACACAAGAAGUGCCAUGCUGGGUCAAACCAAUGAUCCAUCUAGCCCACUCCCCUGUCUCCAACAGUGACAGAAAUGGAUGUUAUACUGAACUGGAUAUCUCUAGAAUAAUUUAUCUCCUAUUCAUUGGUUUAGAGAUGCCAGAAACAUCUCAGCCUAUUCUGCUUAGUACCCAUUAAUAGAUCUAUUGUCCAUUAAUUUGUCUAGUUCCUUUUUGAACCUGGCUAUGCUAUCUGCAUCCACGACCUCCAGUGGGACCUGCACCACCACUACCUGUGGCAAACUGACGGAAAAAUUAGCAUUAAUUGGACUAAUCAGAGUAAAGUGCAUGUAGCAAGAAUUCCACAUGCUGCCCAGAUGAUUAAACAAGGCCCCACAGCUGCAACAUUGGCAAGUACUGAUUUAGGAGAAAUGAAGAUUCCUGAGCCAAUAAUUGUACCAACGAUCAUACAGAUUCCACUGAUCAGACCCACCUUGAAAUGAAAGGAGACAUUCCAAUAAGAAGUGGAUCCAGGAUUUUAAGAGAGGUGCUGGGGCAGCAAUCCGUGCUGCUGGAGUGGCUGUACUCCCCACUUCCAGCAUCCUUCCCUCAGCCCCCCUAUGAAGGUGAGCAGACUGCACCAUGGAAGCAGCAGUCGGGGACCUUUUUAGGCCCUC